UUGCGUCAAAUAUUUCACACAUUUUAUGUCGAGUUAUUACAUAUAUCUUAGUAAAAUUGAGUAUAAAUUUCGCUCUCUGUAAUUUUACAACGAUAAAAAUUUUUUAUCACAAGCACAACUGCAUUUCAUUAAUAAACAUUACGUGUCGCUAGCGAUGUAACGUCACCCUAAUGCUUAGAAUGAAAUAUCUAGUUUGUUUUUUAUUAAUUUAAAUUUGACAAACCUGUGUGUGUAUUCAAAUGCGUUUAUUUCUUAAAUUAAAUAUUCGUGUCGUUACGACCAGGUGUAUAAUCCGUUGAAGAAUUUAAAGCUUUCAAAGACCUCUAUCCUGGCUGGAUCAGGAUUACAAAAGUGACUCAAUAAUUCUUCGUUGAAUCCACAAUCGCUUAGAUUUUCUUGUCCAAACACAUUAGGUGGUACUUUCGUGAUAUUAUGAUCCUCUUCUUUUGUAACGCUUGUAUAACCUGUAACAAAAAUACUUAAAACGGAGUUGUCGAUUCCAGUUGUGCGCAGCUCGCCGAAUACUGUUCCAAUUGACUAGAUGUCAUCAAAUGACAGAGAGAUGGUAACACUUGCGGCAAAAGAGGUCCUUUCAAUUCCAAAGAGUAAUAUCUGUCGUUAUCAACACGUACUACACUUUCCCGGACCUUUGUUAAGAAAAUUUCGUUCUUCAAAACGGGGACGUAUUUCGCCGUUGUGGAGUUUGGAAAUUAAAGCGUAUGUACCCUGGUCUACCCAAAACAUCGACGGUAUUUAAGAGACAGAUACAGUUUCGGGCAAGAAGACGCAAGAGCACCUCGCAGAGGGAGAAUUCAGCCGUUUAUCCUGGACCGACCGCGAUCCACCGGGGCUGUUAUCGACGGGAGGCUGGAUCCAAGUUUUCGCUCUCUGAUAGCGCGUUCGCCUGUAUAUCAAAGGUAUACAUCCGCGGGCCUCUCGACGCGGCGGCGAUAGCAUCGGAGAGACAGAGAACGGUAGGUGCGAUUUUUGGACGGAAAGAAGAAAGGGAAAAUACGACAGCGAAAUAGACCGACCUACGAUGUCUGCGACACUGUCGGAAAUAUUUCGUUUCCGGGUCACACGCGGCUGCUGCGAUUAUUCGUGCCGUAUAUUCGGCGAUGCCGAGAGCAUCAACGAGACUUUCCGCGGAAUGAGAAGCCGUAUGUUGCGAGAAAAGAAAAAAAGCCGAAAGUACCGGAAGAAUAUGCGGGGCACCUUAUUUCUCGAGGAAAUAAAAGCGACGGAAAUUCGUUCUCGAAGCGAUCGUAACUCUUGCAAUGCGGAGACUGCUUGCAACGUGUGAUUGUGAAUUAUAUAGAUAAAAGUGUAAUUGGUAAUAGGAAAAGGAAUAAGGGAUGCAAGGAAAAAUCGUAUAUCGUAUGGAAAGCACGCGGCGGAGGAAAAGAUAUCGCCGCUCCGGCGAUUCGAGAUACACGAUUACCGCGAAACUAAUAAUAAACAGGGCGGCGAAUUGAAUUAAUCGCUCCCCCUAACUUAGUUUCCGAUCCACUGGUCGAUUUCCGAGUAUUACUCGCCAAGCUCAUUAGGAGCUGUUUAGUUGCGCAAGAAUUUCCGGAAGUACCGCCGGCACUCCGGUAUCGACUGCGCUUCCAGCGACUAUCGUUUGCUCGUUAACGAUAAUGCUUCUGAGUUUAGAGAAUACAAAAGUCCAUACUACGAGCAAUCAACUUACGUUCAAACGUUUCCCGGUAAUGGGAACCGAAUCGCUUUCCCUUCCCUUCUUCCUUCGCCUCGCACCGAACUGGGAAAAGCCGGCUGGAAACGAGAUGGAUACACAGAGAAACGAAACGAAGAAAGAGAAGGAGCGCUUCCGAUUCGCCCGCACGGCUUGCAUACAAUUAACUCCGAAAACAUAAGUUUCUCGUUUCUCGUAGAGAAGAAAGCGUUCGGCUACGGUCUUUAGACGUGCCCUGAAAUAAAAAAAAAAAAAAAAAAAAAAAAAAAAAA